CAACUUUCAACAACGGAUCUCUUGGCUCUCGCAUCGAUGAARAACGUAGCGAAAUGCGAUAUGUAAUGUGAAUUGCAAAAUUCAGUGAAUCAUCRAAUCUUUGAACGCACCUUGCGCCCCUUGGCAUUCCGAGGGGCACACCCGUUUGAGUGUCGUGA
rnacentral:rRNA from 1 species